AACCGCCCUGACAACAAGUUUAUUUGCCAAUUAUGUGGCAGCGAGGCUGGCCAAUGAUCCAGAGCGGGUUCCAAACGGGGGCCAAAGCCAAAACGUAAGCGGAGUUGUGUUUUUGGAAUGAGGAAGUAACCGGGAGUAGCCAAAGAAAACGCAUGCAAGCUCGGGGACAAUGCGAAAGUCCACAUUCUCGGGGCAUCGAAUCGAUCGCAACUGGACCGUUCUGGUUGUCUUGGAAGACGGUUCGCCAGUUGUCAUGAGCUCUUGAAACAAGGCUUAGUUCGGACAGACGAGCCUGACUUGGUGUGGAAAAAUUCUACGAUUUAUGUUCCGUGUUGGAGGUACAGUGCAGUUCCAUUUGGAUUGCGUCAUCCGCAGACCUGUUUGCUCGGUCGGCAAACUGCACGGGGUCCACCACACGCAACAUUCCCAUCAUUUCCCUUGAUUAAAAACACACUGGUAAAUAUAACAUCCAUUUUGGUAUAUUUUGGGUCACUUUAAGAAAAGCCAUCCCAGUUCUGGGUUAAAGAUUGAUAUUUACCGUGUUUUUCUUACUGUCAAAUGAAACGGAACUGCACUGUUAAAACACCUAGGAACAUUGUUCAAGUGUUAAACGAAAAUAAUAAUAAUAUGUCACUCGCCUGAAUCUGGGGAAAACCCGCCUGGAUCUCAAAGCUCUCUCCACCUCAUCCCUGCUGAAGCCAAAUACCUGCCUGAGGAUGUCAUACCUCCUCAAAUGCACCAUGAGCUCAGCCAAAAACAGACGCCCUUUGUCAUAACUUGUGACUUUGGACUUAAGCGUCUCCUUCACAUGGGCUGCUGUAUUAUCUGUGUCCGAAGUCUCGCACAAGUAGAAAACCUUGGAGCGUUCAUUGCUGCCGAGGGCCUCUGAUAUUUGAUGAAUAGCACGAAGCAUUUCUGUAUCAGAAACUGCCAUCGAUGUAGGAAGUGAAUCGUAGCAUUGAGUUCGACGAUAAACAUCCAUUCGCACUCCUGGGAACUAACAAAUAAAACAUCCGUAUGGUUGGUUUAAUAUAGCUUAGAAUAGAAAAAGAGCAGAGCCCAACUUACUUGUAAAAUUCGACCGUCAGCGGGAGUCAUGGGCGAGGAAUUUCCGUACACGUAUUGUGAAACUUUUAAAGAAGAAGAAGAAGAAGAAGAAGCUAAAGUGGUGAGAUCACGACUCCGUUCUCGUCGCCAUACCUCGCGUGAACUUCCGGAGUGAAACACGCAGCAUGCUGUUAAUUUUUUUAUUAUCAAUAAUUAAAUUAAAAAACUCGAUAAUUAGGAGGCGGUGCUUCCGUGGAAAAGUACACAACUUGGAACAGGAUAAAGUCGUCUUGGCCUCCCUAUUUAACCGGAUUCGGAAACAUUGGACCUAGUUAAUAUAAUUAUUUCGCAUUUUAUGACAGCUAUUGGUCCGUUUGACCUUCUUUUUUAAAAAAAAUAUGUACAGUGAGUCAUAUCGAAACAGAUCAGGGAACAAAAUGCAGAAGUCCAUAUUCGACUUUCCGUUUGGUCUUCUUUUAGUUGUUUUACGGCGGUUGACAUCCAGCUUAAUGGCGCACUACCGCCACCUUCUGCUCCGGAGACUAUAGUACAUAGCGUUAUGCCCCCUCAUUGUACCUUUUCAUAUAAUUUAGUACCUGGGGUCACCGACCUUUUUGAAACUGGGAGCUACUUAUUUGGAUACUAAUUAAUGCAAAGGGCUAUUAGGUUGAUAAAUACGGAAGCGUAUUUACGGAAGCGUAUUGCAUUCACUUGGAUAAAAAAAAAAAAACUUUUUCUGAAUAAUUUUUUUGAGGGCUUUGUUUUUCUGACAAUUUUUUUUCUGUUUUUCUGACUAAUUUUUUUCCACCUGUUUUUCUGACUAUUUCUUUCUGUUUUUCUGGAAAAAAAAAUGUCCACCUGUUUUUCUGACUAUUUUGUUUCUGUUUUUCGGUCUAAUUUUUCCCACCUGUUUUUCUGACUAUUUUUUUCUGUUUUUCGGACAAAUUUUUUCCACCUGUUUUUCUGACUAUUUUUUUUUCUGUUUUUCGGACAAAUUUUUUCCACCUGUUUUUCUGACUAUUUUUUUUUCUGUUUUUCGGACUAAUUUUUUUUCCCGAGUUAUCGGGACACAUCGAACUCACGCGAGAACCUGCGAACUGCAAGUGACUCUUUGCGGACUCACUCAUGGCGGAUUACUGCUCACACACCUUCAACCUGCCCAUACGCGUUUACAUUACCGCUUCAAUUAAGCAUUGCAAUGGCUACAUCCUCAACCCCUGGCCUCCCACAAGAUGAUGAUGGUCUGUGGGAAUUUCUACGCAACAGAGGUGUUCAUGAGGAGAGUAUUCAGAAAAUUAAACAAGAUCAUAUUGACAGCUCGAUAAUUGGAGAAAUAGAUGAUGCUGCUUUGGCCUCUUACAUUCCAGCCUAUGGUGAUAGGAUUGCUACAAGACGUUUCUCAGUGGAAAAACAGAGAAGAGGUGGAGAUGAUACAAAAAGACUUACCUUAUUCCAAAAACCUAGUAAGAAAAUGGGCACAAUGGGUAACGAAGCCUGUGAUCAUGGUUUUGAGGGAGAGAGAGAGAGAAUACAGUGAAACCAACAAAUGUGUACCUAAAAAAUAAUAAGCGAGUCUGGAAGACAACCAGAAAAAUAGAAUUAGGGUGGAUACAUGACAACAAACAAGUCAGAAAACGCAGCGGUGGAGGAACCAGAGUUCUGGAUAUUAACAAGAAUGCCACUAAAACUGAGAUCCUGUCUCAAGCAAAACAACAGUUUUUCCCGAAUGAGAAGUCAACAAUGGGAAAGUGGGAAGAGUUCAGUCAUGACAUCGUUAACUUUCAGGAAGCACAAGUUGAUGAGGACGUAAGUGUGCGGGAGUGUUAUGACACACACAAAUUAGCUUUGUUAAGAUUUUAUUCGUUCACAAAGACCCUUGCCGGUGGAGAUGACCAAGAGGAAGGAGCUGACAUACCGACAGAUGAGCAACAUGAAAACUCAACAGAAUGUGGACAAAAGAAACAGACAAUGGAAAAGGUGGAGCAGCUGACGUAGAAAAUACAUAGCAGUGAAAUAAGUCAAAUACACACAACGGAAGAUGAUGAGCUGAGCACUGCAGCUGUUCAGAUUAUUGUUCCUACGUCUUUGUGUAAUACAUCAGAGGUCAGUUUUGGUCCUUUGACAGGGGGUCAAUUUUUAGGUGAUCUUGAUGAUACACUCAUACAUGAUCCAAACCUUGCAAUAGAAGACGAACAACUAUAACAUCCCCACUUACACCUCAACUCCUAAUGAUGCUGAGACAGCUUUUGGUAGACCACCAAGUCCUGCCUUUGAACUUUUACGUGUGAGUGUGAAACUUCACCGAGUAACUCUCUUAGAUGAAUUUAUUACCCAAUUCAAGGAUGAAGCAGUUAUGACAAACUCUGUGAAAUACAGCUUUAUUAAUGAAAUGGGGGCAGAUGCUGAUGGUGUGUCUAGGGAUGUAUACGCUGCCUUCUGGACAGAAUUCCUAGACUGUGCAGCAGAAGGUGCAGAUGUGAGGGUGCCAUCACUCUCCCCGAAAUGGCAAGAGGAAGAAUGCAAAUCUGUCGGCAGGAUAUUGGCCAAGGGACUGAACGACCAUGAACGACCAACAAUAACUCACACAAGCACAGAUUGAUUGAAAAUGUUCUUUCUGCCCUUUCAACAAUUCACUUUUGUUAUCAGUCUAGGAUGGAUGGGAAUGUUUGUACGUUAGAAAAACCAUUGUAUUUUUGCUGUUAUUAUAGAAUUUGAAUCUCUACCUCAUGUCAAAUGUUAAUACGACAGUGUUUGUGAGUCUGGUACAAGGUGGUUUGGGAUUUUAUGUUUGUUUUGCAAACAGAUUAUGUGUUACCUGUUUAGUCAUGUAGUUCAAGAGUCCUGCUCUGUGAGACAAGAUAUGUUUCAACCUGCAAUCUUUAAAUUGGACAUGUUUCUUUUCCAUGCUUGCAUUGUUAAAUGUUACGGGUAUUAAAUAUGUCCAAACUCAAGUAAAGAACUUGCUAUAUUAAAAUA